GAUGAACGCUGGCGGCGUGCCUAAUACAUGCAAGUCGAGCGAACAGACGAGGAGCUUGCUCCUCUGACGUUAGCGGCGGACGGGUGAGUAACACGUGGAUAACCUACCUAUAAGACUGGGAUAACUUCGGGAAACCGGAGCUAAUACCGGAUAAUAUAUUGAACCGCAUGGUUCAAUAGUGAAAGCCGGUUUUGCUGUCACUUAUAGAUGGAUCCGCGCCGCAUUAGCUAAUUGGUAAGGUAACGGCUUACCAAGGCAACGAUGCGUAGCCGACCUGAGAGGGUGAACGGGCAAACUGGGACUGAGAAACGGGCCAGAAUCCUAAGGGAGGCAGCAGUAGGGAAACUUCCGAAAUGGGCGAAGGCCUGACGGAGCAAAGCCGCGUGAGUGAUGAAGGUCUUCGGAUCGUAAAACUCUGUUAUUAGGGAAGAACAAAUGUGUAAGUAACUAUGCACGUCUUGACGGUACCUAAUCAGAAAGCCACGGCUAAAUACGUG
rnacentral:rRNA from 1 species